GGCAAGUGCUCGACUACUGAGUUACGUGCUAACUUGGUCUGGGCUUCAAAGUCUCCAAAGCUCCCCCAGGGAGCUGCCUUGGUCCCCUGUCUUCUCACCUGCUGCAGUAAAGAGCCUGUUCUUCCAACUCACUUUGCUGACCUUAGGGAAGUUACUUAAGGUCUCUGUCCCUUGACUUUUCAUGUCUGGUUCUUACCAGGUGUUUAGUACAGUGUCUGGCCCAUAACACACACACACACACACACACACACACACACACACACGCACGCACGCACACACGCACACACGCGCACAUGCACACACACCUAGAGUGCCAGCUAACAAACGUCAACGGGCCUUUUCUUCCACAGUGAUCCAUCAUAUAGCUAGUGAUUUUUCUAAAAAUUGAUGUCUCACUACACAGUCCUAGCUGAUCUGAAAUUCAUAACGUAGACCAGCUUGGCUUGGCCUGGGACUCACAGGGAUCUGCCUGCCUCUGCCUCUGCCUUUCCUGUCCUGGGAUUAAAGGUGUGCAUCUCCAGGCACAGUUCAGGAUGCUUUCUCUUUCUCUGGUUUCUCCAAAGUGCAUUAAUCCCAGCACUCGGGUGGCAGAGGUAGGUGAAUCUCUGUGAGUUCAAAGCACGGCUGGUCUACAUAGAGAGUUCCGGGACAGCCAGGGCUAUGUAGAGAGAUCCUGCCUCAAAAAACAAAACAACAAAACAAAAACCAAACUAACAACAACAAAAACCAAAGUGUACGGCACAGAGCAAAGCCACUUUGCUGGGGACACAUUUGGAUUCCCGGCUGAGGCAGGGCUGGAAGAGCUUGUGGCUAUGCAGGAUCAGGUUUGUGUGUGUGUAAAAGGGGGUCCUGGUGGAGGACUGAGCAGGAUGAGGAGAGGUUAAUAGCUGCCUAGACAGGCCACCUGAGCUGAUGCCUCAAGAACACUCUGACAGAUCUCCAUUGUCCCCAGACAGGGACUAUUUGUCUGGGUUUUGUCUGAUGAUGCAAAGGGGUUGUUCUCACAGUUGGUGGAAAAGGGCUGAGGGUCCUGUGACCUGAGACUCAAACUUCAAAGGAAAAUGACAGCUUUGCCUGCCCUUUGAGGAGGUCGAGUUCCAAGACCUCACCCCUUCUCCUGCUAAGGAGCUUCAUUGAGUCCUUCUCCAAGCCUCCUCGGGUCCUCUCCAGGCUCCUCCUACCACUGCCUACAGUGAACCUAUGGAGCCUACAAGGACCAUGUUUAGAAACUAAGGAACCAGGAGUCCUGGGUGCCAGAAAAGUGGAGUCUGGAGAGGCCAACAGCCGAGGCUCCCUUUUGAGGGGUCUUGGGUCUGGACUCCAUUAAUUCUGGCCCUCCAUGACAGCCUUCAUGCUCACAGGCCACAGGGAGUAUGUGAUUACUGUAGGCCACGGCAGUUGUGAAGACACAGAAAAUGGGAGGCCAGGUUAAGCCGGCUGCGUACAGAACAAGGUGUUUAUACUGCAGGGAAUGAGGUUUCCAAAUCUCAAGGAAGAGCAGACAUGGGACAGAUCCAUGGCCAAGCCUCCUCUUGUUGCCAAGUCAUCUGGUAGAAUCACAGAGCCUCCCUUCAACUUUCCCUAGUCUACAUCUGCAGGUACCAAUAAGACCAUCUACAUAACCUGCAAGAAACAUGUUUAAAAAGCAAAAGAUCAGGAGCCCUGGCUGCCAGGAAUGCGGGUUCUACCCCUUACCUACUGAAGCACAGUCACAAGGGUGUCCCCUUCCCCACUCCCAGCAUCUGGCUUCUAAUACAAUCUCCAGGUUGCUCUUGGGUGUGAUGGGUUGGGUGUCACAGGUCCAGGAUACAGAUGGAGGACAGAUGCUGGGGGCCGGGGACAGUCGUUUGGACAGUUCAGCACUAUUGCAUUCGCUGUGGCUUGGCAACUCUGAGGUCUGCUUCCUGGCAACUAUCAGCAAGGGCAAACUUAACACCCAGAGCCUGCCUUCUGGGCUGUUGGCUCUGCUUAGAGGACACAAGUGGGGCCCAGUGGUUAGGAACACUGAAUGCUCUCCCAGGGGACCCAUGUUCAAUCCCAGGUAGUCUCACAGCUACCUAUAACUUCAAGAUCUGACACCCUCACCCAGACAUAAUGCAGGCAAAACAUCAAUGUACAGG
rnacentral:lncRNA from 1 species